CAGCCGCCGCGGUAAUACGUAGGUGGCAAGCGUUGUCCGGAAUUAUUGGGCGUAAAGCGCGCGCAGGCGGUCCUUUAAGUCUGAUGUGAAAGCCCCCGGCUCAACCGGGGAGGGUCAUUGGAAACUGGGGGACUUGAGUGCAGGAGAGGGAAGUGGAAUUCCACGUGUAGCGGUGAAAUGCGUAGAGAUGUGGAGGAACACCAGUGGCGAAGGCGGCUUCCUGGCCUGUAACUGACGCUGAGGCGCGAAAGCGUGGGGAGCAAACAGGAUUAGAUCCCCUGGUAGUCCACGCCGUAAACGAUGAGUGCUAAGUGUUAGGGGGUUUCCGCCCCUUAGUGCUGCAGCUAACGCAUUAAGCACUCCGCCUGGGGAGUACGGCCGCAAGGCUGAAACUUAAAGGAAUUGGCGGG
rnacentral:rRNA from 1 species